rnacentral:rRNA from 1 species
KUUUAGUCUAUUUAGAGGAAUCUGUCCUGUAAUUGAUAUUCCACAAUUUUAAGUACUUAUUUUUUAAGUUUAUAUAUCGCCGUAGGUGAUUAUUUUAAUAGAAUAAUAAUAUUCGGUAUUUAAAAUAAAAAUAGAAAUCAGGUCAAGGUAUAGCUUAUAAAUAAGAAGAGAUGGAUUACAAUAAAAUUAUUUAAAUGGAAUUAAGUAUGAAAAAAUUAAUGAAGGUGGAUUUGAAAGUAAUUUUUAUACAAAUUUAAGAAAUGAUUUUAGCUCUAAAAUAUGCACAUAUCGCCCGUCGCUUUCAUUAUAAAGUGAAAUAAGUCGUAACAAAGUAGAUGUACUGGAAAGUGUGUCUAGAAAGACAAAUUAGAGCUUGGUAAAAGUAUUUUAUUUACAUUAAAAGGUUUAUUGUGAAAUUCAAUAUAAUUUGAAUUUUAAUAAUUAUUUUUUUUUUAAUUUAAAUUUAAUUAUUAUGAAUAAAUGGUUGUGUUAUUAUUAAAGAA